CUGUGGAGAAGGUCUUUACAGAUGGAUUGGUAGCAACAGGUCAGUGAGACACCUGUGGAGAAGGUCUUUACAGAUGGAUUGGUAGCAACAGGUCAGUGAGACACCUGUGGAGAAGGUCUUUACAGAUGGAUUGGUAGCAACAGGUCAGUGAGACACCUGUGGAGAAGGUCUUUACAGAUGGAUUGGUAGCAACAGGUCAGUGAGACAACUGUGGAGAAGGUCUUUACAGGUGGAUUGGUAGCAACAGGUCAGUGAGACACCUUUGCAGAAGGUCUUUACAUUUAGAUUGGUAGCAACAGGUCAGUGAGACACCUGAAGACAAACGACUGACAUCUCCCAAAAUGUCAUCCUUUUCGACAGAUGUCAUGACGAAGUAGGCAGUGUUUAUCUAUUGUCAUGAAGGCUCAGCUUAAAGCAUCUAUGAAAGAAUACUGUUUGUGAAUUUUGACUGUUUUGUUUUAUGUAUACCAUUUUGUGCCACUAAUCUCACCCACAUAAAAUUAUUAAUUACUGGAAGUCGUUGAAAAUAGUUUGGUGCAUUUAAAAUUAAACAGGGAAGUUACCGGUUGUGUUGAAAAUCUAUUAAACAGGCAAGUUACCGGUUGUGCGGAAAAUCUAUUAAACAGGCAAGUUACCGGUUCUGUGGAAAAUCUGUUGAACAGGUAAGUUACCGGUUCUGUGGAAAAUCUAUUAAACAGGUAAGUUACCGGUUGUGUGAAAAAUCUGUAUUAUUGCUCACACAAAUACUUUUGGUCUCACACUUAGUAGCCUACACAGUUACCUAAGUCGAGUUUUAAAUUCGUUUCUGUUUUAUUUAUUUAUUUUCAAUAUUUCUAGAUGCUUAUUACCAACAGGUUUUAUCUGUUAGUAAACACAUAAUAUAAAGAACUGUAGCUACAUAAUCAAUGGAUGUAGGUCAUAUAAGCUACGAUUACCACGAACCGUACAAACUAAGACUCGGACAUGAACUAUAACUGACAACCACAAACAGUUCGAUAAAAAGCGGACAUUUUCAUUGUAUGCCUUACUGUUAGGCUUACAACGAGCUAGUUAUAUUAAUGUCAUUGUUGUUGCACGUUUGUUUUUAAAGUUGUCAAAUAUUAAUUACUUUUGAAAGAGGAUAUAAAAUUAAAAAUAUAUAUUAAAACAUUUUAAGGCCGGGUUGAUUCACAUAGGAUUUAUUUUUAACUCUGAAGUUAAGAGUAUACUUGUUUUUACUGUUACCAGUUGUUUGUCAGUGGCAGUUUUUUCAUGUAUAUGAUUCUUUAAAAAUUUACGUUGUUUUUUGAUUCACAUUAAAGACUUUAAUUGAAGAACCAUAGAUGUGAAUAUAAAGGUCCUGGAAAGUGCAAUAUAAAAAUAUUUUAUCAAUAGACUUCUGUGUAAAAGACAUUUGUUUUAAAACUGAAAUCAGUUUCGCCAAUAUUCUUCUUUGUAAUACGGUUUUAUAAUCUGAAUUUGUUCAAGUUUUAUGGAUAAUAUUUUAUCAUCCUGAUAUUUUUUUGUCUGCCUGUAAGAUUACGAAAAAAAAAAGUUGUGAUUUUUUUUUAUUUUGUGGAUAUUUCUUUAAAAGAGUUUAUACGUGUUUUCGAGUGCUUUGUCUUAUUGGACUUUUUGUUUUAAAGUUUACACAUUUUAUCCAGAGAUGGCGCUUUUGAUUUAUUAAUAACAACCUUCUACCAUUGAGAGAAGAUUAGCUCCAAGAAACUUUACAGCUGUAUUUGAAAAUAAAUGAUAAACUGGGGGUUAUAGAGAAACUUCUCGUCGCA